UACGUAGGGUGCAAGCGUUGCCCGGAAUUAUUGGGCGUAAAGAGCUUGUAGGCGGUUUGUCGCGUCUGCUGUGAAAAUCCGGGGCUCAACCCCGGACUUGCAGUGGGUACGGGCAGACUAGAGUGUGGUAGGGGAGACUGGAAUUCCUGGUGUAGCGGUGGAAUGCGCAGAUAUCAGGAGGAACACCAGCGGCGAAGGCGGCGCUCUGGGCUGGAACUGACGCUGAGGAGCGAAAGCGUGGGGAGCGAACAGG
rnacentral:rRNA from 1 species